AGUCCUUGUCAACCAGACUUGUUGGGUUUUUCAUUGUUAAUUCUAUUCUUUUGUCUAAUUGUGCAAACAAAGGCAAGAGAGGCAUUACAAGCGUCUUCUGUAGACAUAAAUAGGCCGCCUAACCGUGAACCACUGGAGCGCCCAACCUCUCCUAGAGAGGACGAACAUGAGGAGAAAGCUGGUGAGAUUCCCUGGGAGCAACGCUAUGAGAAAAUAUGGGUGGAGAACGACAAAAAGGAGACCAAGUCCCAGUACAAAAACGUAGCUGCUGAACUAAAAGAGAGGUUCGGAGAACUGGAGCACAAGGAACCACUGAGUGACCUUUCGGAGCAGGAGUGGAAAGAAGAUGAACAAGGUGAUGAAGAGGAAAAGAAAGAGGUGGAAAAGGAAGCAGAUGAUGAAGAUUCCAGUGAGGAAGAGGAAGAGGAAGAGUCAAUAGUGCGGCCCACCGCCCGGGCGAGAAGUGCCAUACUUUUGCCCAUCCCAGAGCAGAGAGAGUCAGGCCUGGAGGACUCGCAGUCUGAAAGUGUCCACCGCACCAUUAGUGUUGAGGUCAGUGAUGCAGAGCUUCCCAGUGACCAACAUAACCCUCAAAUCAUCCCAGGAGCCCGAACGGAUGAGGCCCAGGAGCCAGAGAACCGAACGGAUAACACUGAGGAACCUGAUAGUGGAAGCAAAGAUAAGUGUGCACUAGAAUCUGCAAGCAACAAAGACGAAGAACCUGAAGAGCUUUACAAACCUUCAACGCUUGUUGAGAACGAGCUACAAGUCCCACCCAAAGUUCUAGAAGUGCCCUCUUCUGACUCCAACGAGGUUGACAAGGGCCUGUGGAAGUCCAGACUUGAGGGUAAUAAGGAACAGUUGGAUGGUAUGAGGGGAGAACACCAGCCCAGUGCUUUAUGGGAUACUAGAGGAACCAGAGAACGAGGUGAACUUGACCAAGUAAAAGGGAAGAAAACUUACAACAACUCUGGGAACCCGAAACCUCAACAGGAAGGGAUGGCUGACGGCAGGUCUUUGGGAAGAGAGGGUAGUGUUUCACCAAGACAUCUGACAAGAAGUCCAAGAAGGUACAUAUGUUGCAUUACUAAAUGGAAUUAAUGUGAGGGGAGAUGUUUUUGUGAUCCAAUCACAUUGAAGAACUUGAUUUUAUUAGGGGUUCAAACGCAUAGCGCUGAAACCCUAUUGUUAGAAUGGUCUUGGAUGAGCGAUUUCUACGUAAAACUUAUCGUGUAGACCAAACUGUAAGUCGUAGAGACUUGAAACUUGUAGGGAUGAUAGUACUCACACUGCCUACAAUGUGACCAAGGCUCACCCCAAUCGGCCUGACGGGGGCGCUACAGCGAUCAAAAGUACGAAAUCGCUCAUAACUCUUAAACCGUCUGUCGCUGGAAUCCUUGGCUCAUGCUGGACAAAUAAGAUUUGAUCGUGAUCAGGCAAAAAAUUUCGGGUUUUUCAAAUUUUUUGCAUAACCUACUUUUGCAAACUAGUCCUAGGUUUUUCGCCCGAUUGGAACCAGAAAGAUUCUCUGGAGAGUGAAAAUCAAUAAUUAUCAAAAAAAACGUUGAACUUUCGACACCGUUGCAAAGGGACGCCAAAACGUUUGAAGGGGGCAGGGCCACUUUUAGUAAAAUGCCUGUAACUCCUGAACGGAAUGAGAUUUCUUCGCCAAACUCGGAACACGUAUGUAAGAGCUCAAGCUGAGGUCACAGGAAAAAAAUCACGGAGAUGGGCCACUUGGUGACGCUAUAGCUAGGCAACCAUUUGUCCUAUCAAUAUGAAAAUUGCUGUGCACGGUCUUGGUCCAAAGUGCCACAAGUGUCUAUGGGGACUUUUGUGUAUCUCAAAAACACAUGGCCACCAUUGGCCGACGAAGUUUGAGCACCUAUUAGACAAGGUUAACGGUGGCCGAUCGUAACAAAACUUGGCAGUCCUGUUUGACUCACGGCCCCAAAGGUCUGUGAGAAAUUUGAAAGAAAUCGACCACUGGGGGGCAGAAUCACAUUUUUUGAGGGCGUAAACGACAUUCGCGAUAUUUGUAUCGUAUGAUAGACCUCCUCGUUCCAAACAACUUUGCCUCUAGAAUCACUGCUGUCACUCAAACAGUUUUUUAAAUAAUUGAGGAGAUGUGAAAAACCUACUUUUGCAAACUAGUCCUAGGGUUUUCAGUCAAUCUGGAAAAACCACCGCAGUGCAAUUCUCUGGACUCUCUAGGUCCAUAAUUUAUUUUUUUAAAAUAAUUGAUUUAGGUGGUUGGUUACAGGCUUGCUAAAUAAUAUGUACAGUAAUGUCUUCUUCCUUAUGUGCUUAAAUACCUAAAGCGCUUGAACCCCAGUUAUCACUUCUUGCAGCUAUACUUUUAUUUUAUUUCCUCCCUGGAAUUCCUUUUAUCCUGUAACUGUGCAUGAACCAUUUUAUUUUAUUUUAUUUAGAAAAUUACUGAAAAAAAUACUGAGGACACCUGUAACUGUGCAUGAAUCAUUUUAUUUUAGAUUUUGUUUUAUUUGAUUGUUUUAUUUUAAAAAUUACUGAAAAAAAAAAAUACUGAAGCAAACAGCCAUGGGUGAUCAAUCAAUACACAUUUUUACCAUUUUAUUUUCAUUCUAUUUCUAAAGUAUAUGCAUGCAUGUAAAACAUGACAGUCAUGACAUACAAUUAUUGUGUUAUUUUAAUUUUUUCAAUUAUGUUUCAUGCCAAUGAAUAUAGUCAUCAGGUUUUAGCAGAAGCUUUGAAUUUGGUGUCAUCAUUGCUGUUUCCCUGGUGGAGGGCGUGCAGUUGCCUUUUUUUUUUUAAUCUUUCAUUUUAACUUCAUUAUGGGAUCUGUGCACCUCCAGUACUGACAGGGCACGACCACAUGCUGAGGAAGAUGAAGAGGAGGAAAAGAAAACUGUAGGUAGCCAAGCCAGAAAUCUCCGUGUAGCUCCCCCUCUGCAGGGCAAACCCUCCCGACCUGCGACCCGCCAUAACGGAGACCUCGAGUCUGUCUUUGAUGAUAGUACUUUAAGUGAGCUAUCGGAAGAGGACAGGAGGUAUACAUGCAGUAUUUACAUGCUUUUUAAUGUAAUAUAUUAUUUAUAGCUCGGUUUUAUCUGUUGCAAUGUUGCAGCAGCAUCAUUAUAAGUAUAACUUGGCCUGCACAGAAUCUGUGUGCCCACAGAAUUCAACCAAACUUGAACACCUGUAAUAUUUACACCUGUACACCUGUAAUACGUACACCCACAAUCAGCGUUGAAUUAAUAAAAGCAAAUGAAAAGCAGGCAGAUUCCAUAUGGGCCUUGUUAUAAUGUAAUUUUUUUUAAAGAGAAUACUGCAUUAUAUCCUCAUUUUAGAGCACCAAACUUGCUCUCCGGUAGACUGGUGUUGUCUGAUAAAGUAUAAAAUAAUUUUUUUCUUUGUACUGACAGGUCCCCAUCUUCAAGGCGUAAGAAAGAGCAGGUGAGCUUUUGUCCUGAUAAGUUAAACCUCUAUAAAAAUAAGUGUUCGUUUAAGGGUUUGUUUAAGACUGUCCAAACUGUGCACUGACUUUUGAGAAUAUGAAGGAAAAUGUUACUCAUAAUUGUAAGAGUUUAACACAGGAUACUCAGUGUCACACAUGUGUUGUAUUGACUUUAUUGUCUCCUAUGCAGAGUACUGGAGAGCUGGAGAUGGCAGAUGAUUUUGAAGAUCUCACCCAGUCUUCUGACACAGCCACUGAGGAGCUGGAGACUCCAGUAUCUGGAUACCACAAUGCAUCUCUGCUCUUCAAACAGCUCGACUCCAGUUAUCUGGGUGAGUCGGUCAGCUCCAGUCGGCUGAAAGCAAACAGUUAAGUUCAGAUGUUCAGCAAAUGAAGAUGUUUGCUUGUAUCUUAUAUGUCCUGCAGACUCUGUGAGUGUGGUGAAACUACAGAACAUGUUUCAUGAGUACGAACGCACCAUCCAGAGGGAGAGAGACAGACACAGCCGUCUGGCGGAUAAAACCUCUCAGCUGGAGCAGGAACGCAACGAGCUCAAGAUCCUGCUGGAUGAUAUCAGAGGCAGCAAGACCAGCCUAGAACAUCUCAAACUGGAGCUGGAAACAGAUAUGAACAAUCUCAAGUGAGCUUAACUCGGUGCAUCUGCAACUCGGCAGGGUUUGUGACACUGACUCUCUCUUCUCUCUCUCUCACUCUCUUCUCAUGGAAGGUUCCUUUUGAGACAGGAACAGGAAAAGCAUCAGAGUGCUCACAUGCUGUAUAAUAAAACCCGUGAGCAGCUCCAGAGGAAAGAGGAGCAGCAGCGAGCCGAGGCCGAGGAGCACCACAAAGCUGAGCUGAAAGUCCGUAGUCUGGAACUGGAGAUCAGAGCCCUGAAGAACAGCAUCAAACAGGUCAACGGCAGCAGACUGGUAAAAGCAGCUCAUAACACAGUUUUCUCAGUGUGCUGAAGAGUGUGUUUGUGUGUUUAGCUUGAGGAGGACAGGGAUGAGUCCCAGCGUCUCCUGUCUCAUGAGCGCAGUGCUCGCGCCCUACAGGAGGAGUUACUCAACAACCACCUGCGUAAGCAGCAGAACAUUGAGGAGGAGAACCUUCGAAACCUCAACAAGAGCAAUGAGGUACCGCUGCCACCUUCUCAAAACUUCAUAUGCUUGUCUGGGAAUAUUUAGAAAUGUUCUGUUUAUAUUAGCAGCUAGCAAAUUCAUUGCAACUAAUAUGUAGUCAGAAGUGAAGUGAUGUAAUGUCAUAAUUUUACUUCCACAAAUGCAGAGAAGUCACCGCAUUACAGCUAUAUAUGCAGUGACAUUAUCGCUUAAAGGGAUAAUUCACCCAAAAACGAAAAUUAGCCGAUUUUCCUAACCUACUCACCCUCAAGCCAUCCUAGGUGUAUACGACUUUAUUCUUUCAGACGAAUACAAUCAGAGUUAUAUUAAAAACUGUCCUGGCUCUUCCAAGCUUUAUAAUGAAAGUGAAUGGGGGGUCGAGAUUUUGAAACCCAAAAAAGUGCGUCCAUCCAUCAUAAAAAGUGGAUACACUACGUAGGUUACGCUACACCUACGUCAUCCUCUGGAACGCCACUCUCUUGUGAACGCACGUACGACAGAUUACGGU
rnacentral:lncRNA from 12 species